AACGAACGCUGGCGGCAUGCCUAACACAUGCAAGUCGAACGAAACCUUCGGGUCUAGUGGCGCACGGGUGCGUAACGCGUGGGAACCUGCCCUUAGGGUCGGAAUAACUCCCAGAAAGGGGUGCUAAUACCGGAUAAUGUCUUCGGACCAAAGAUUUAUCGCCUUUGGAUGGUCCCGCGUUGGAUUAGCUAGUUGGUAGGGUAAAAGCCUACCAAGGCGACGAUCCAUAGCUGGUCUGAGAGGAUGAUCAGCCACACUGGGACUGAGACACGGCCCAGACUCCUACGGGAGGCAGCAGUGGGGAAUAUUGGAAAAUGGGCGAAAGCCUGAUCCGGCAAUGCCGCGGGAGUGAUGAAGGCCUUAGGGUUGUAAAGCUCUUUUACCCGGGAUGAUCAUGACAGUACCGGGAGAAUAAGCCCCGGCUAACUCCGUG
rnacentral:rRNA from 1 species